CGCGUAGGCGGCAUGGUACGGUUUGGGUGAAAUCCCACGGCUCAACCGUGGAACGGCCUGAGCAACGGCCAUGCUAGACGGCAUCAGGGGGAGGUGGAACUCCGGGUGGAGCGGUGAAAUGCGUAGAUAUCCAGAGGAACGCCGGUGGCGAAAGCGACCUCCUGGGGUGAUCGUGACGCUGAGGCGCGAAAGCUAGGGGAGCGAACAGGAUUAGAUACCCUGGUAGUCC
rnacentral:rRNA from 1 species